GUCAAAGAUGGAGUCCAGAGCUGGGAGGCCGUGAGGUUGCAAAUGGACGAGACAGCGUUUUUAAAAUAGUGGAGCCGUUAAGCCUAGGGAACCGUUUCUGCGGCUGAAACGGACGUAUGUGUGGAGGACAUAUGGUAAAAGCCGGGACGUUUUCCCUGCUCAAGUGGACAACUUGGAUCCGUUGUGCUUCUUCUGUGUGUUGAGCUGUGCGGACCGGCCCUUCCUCCGCCAGGUACCGUUCACCAGAACCUCUGGCUGCUGCUGCGGGGCGGAGAUGCCGUGGAGCCGGCAGACGGACGUGGAUGUCGUGCUGGAGUGGAGGCAGAAAAUAAGCUACAGUUGAUGAACUGGACCUUUGAAGCAAAACAAAGGUCAGGCACAACACCUUGGUACAAAAAUGUUUAGAAAGUUUGUAAAACGACAUAAAAUUUACACCAAAAAGCUUGCUGAACUUGUUUGAGCUAAGCAUCAAACUUCAUUUUUUAAAUGUUUUUUUCAAAUUAACAGAAAUAUUUGUGUAAUAGAAACUUAACAGCCAAGUACCUGCCAAAAAAUGUUUUAUUAAUAGAUUAGUUAGUUCCUGAUUCUUGAUUCUGUUCCUUGUUUUUACCAUCUCAUUAAGGUUCUUGUUGAGUUGCUUUUGCUCAGCAGCAUUUGACAUUUGAUAACUUUGAUUUUUCCCAUUAAAUACUAAAAUCUAUAUGACUGAAAGGAAGAGUCAUAUAAUAUAUCUUGGUUAUACAAGGCUUUUAAAUAUCUGCCUGACUUAAACGCAAGCUUGAAAAUACUGGAAACAUCCCUAUUCCUUCAGAAAUAAUGAAAAAGCUGAAACCAUCUAAAAUUAAUUUAUCAUAUUACACAGACCCAUAGACACUGGGAUUGUUUAAAUGUAUGGUGCAAUGCAUUACAUUGCUUGUCUGUUUAAUAAUGGGGAGUCGUGGUCCAGAUUUUUUUUUUUAAAUGAACACCACCCUGUUUCAUUCAAGGUUAACAUUAAAAUGCUGUCCUCAGACAGUCAGACUUGGUGUUGGUCUGUGUUGAGACACUGAGGACAGUGUAGAAAAAGUGCGGCAGGAAUACAAGAAACACAGGCCAGUUACAACAAUAACGCAGCACUUUCUCCUCAAAGGUGGGUGGUCCCAUUUCCAUUCCUUUUGCUCUGGCAGCUGGGACUUCUGAGUGGAGAGCCUGGGAACCUCCUGGUACACCCCACCCACCUUGGACUCCACCUCCCAGCCCCCUACCACCGAAAGCCUUGUUAAAGGUCAGCAGUGCGCCUUUCACCUGAGCUCAACAAAAGCUGCCAGGUAGUGGCAGAUUCUCCUUCCUUUCCCCCAUCUCUCUCCCUCUCCUAGGUGAACGUGGCACCUAGGAGAGGGAGAAAGAUGGCUGCAGGUGGACAGGUGCUGCCAAGUGUAAUCAGUGGAAUCGACAGGCAAGCAGUUGGGAGGGAUCACCACAUUACCUUCUCUUCCAAAAACGCCAGACGUUCUUACUACUUUUUGGAUUCCUGCCUGCUCACCCUUCCUUGCCUGGAUUCCCCAGAUCACCACAGAUUUCCGUCAAGCACCAGCUAAGACGCAAACCUCUGUUAGUCCUCAUGCCAACCUAUCCACCACCUGUCCAGACUCUGAUCAUCACCAGACCACGCGCCACCUCACCCGCUCUGUCUUCCCGUCACCAGUUCUCAGCCUCGGACCAUUAAGUUCCCUUACCGCUCUAUGAGCCAGUCCAGUUUUACGUCUUCCUAGAGAGCCUAGUUAGUUUGUGUUUCCAGCGUCUUUUUAUUCAGCAGUCAUGCAAUAAGUGUACCUGUUCUUUAAUUCACUCUCCUGCCUUGGUAGUACCAGGUUCAGGUCAGUUUGCUAAAUCCAUUGUUUUAGUGCAAUGAGUGUGGUUAAAAUUACCCUCUGGGCCUUCAGGGGGCCCUGUUCAGUUCUAGCAUUCAAUAUUUACCAUCCUGUUUUGGUGACCUCUUGUAUGUCACAUCCUGUUGUAGGUUUUGUGAAUUUUGAGUGUGUACUCCCAAAGCCAGUCUGUCCUGUCUCUGUUGCUCUGCAUCUGAGUCUCUGACUUCGACAUUGUAACAUUUAUUCAAAUUAUAUACAUUUACAUACAUUUACAACUGUACUUUGUAUUUAAUUUUACACUACUUAACACAUACUUUUCGUACAUGUACGCAGAAAUGUGCAAUGUCCAGAAGUGUUCAGUUACAGUACUGUUUUUCUAAUUCCUAAUAUACCAAAUGAGCUAUUUGUAAGAGCAAAAGCUAUCCCACUGUUCUCAUGGAAACACUUGCACAUACUACUUUUACUCUGCCAAGGAAUGCAGCGGAGUUAUGUGAUGAUUGUCGUUGGUUUGUCUGUUAGAAACAUUACUCAAAAACAGAUUAAUGGAUUUAGAUGAAAUUUUCAAGGAAGGUCACAAAUAACACAAUGACCAAGUGAUUAGAUUCUGCCAGUGAUGCGGCUUAUAGUUUGGAUCCAUGAAUUUGUUCAAGAUUUCUGUAUCAUUGCGAGAUAGCGGCACAGGGCCACAUGAACUGCUGACGAUCACAAUAGCGAUUCUAUUACAAAUCAACCUCUGUAGACUUUUGACUUAUCCAUCAGAAAUGAUACAAGGACCAAUCGAUUAAAUUGCGGGGGUGUUUCUGAGUCCCAUCAAUCUCCGCCACCGGCUAGGUUACUCGAUUCGGUAUCCGUAUCACACGCCUGUGCUCAGCGCAAGGUCAUUUUGUUUGUGGGUACAUCUACAUUAAAUGACCGCAUUCUAUGUUGCUGUGAUUUCUGAUCAUCAGUAAUUAAUAAAAAAAUGCUGCAUUUAUGACAAUGCCACAUGGGGGAAUGAACAGCCUUAGAGGAGUACUGCACUCUUCUGAGUGCUUUUCUGUUUUUUUUAUGUUUUCUUUCUAUUUGCACUUUUCUUAUUGUAUUUGCAAAAUUGUCUUACUGUGCAAAUGCACUGACAGGUUGACUACUUUUUUGCACAAUACAAGGACAAUAAAGGCAUUCUAUUCUGUUCUA